UCUGCUGCCACCACUGAUAAGAAACGUAGGGUAGUGGUGGUUGGAGACUCUCUGCUGAGGGGGACGGAGGCACCCAUCUGUCGCCCUGACCGUUCAUCCCGGGAGGUAGGGGUCCGGGCAGAGACAGAUGCAUCGUGGAGGUGAAUGCCUGGCUGCGAAGAUGGUGUCGCCAGGAGGGCUUUGGCUUCCUCGACCACGGGAUGCUAUUUGAGGAAGGACUGCUAGGAACAGAUGGCGUUCACCUUUCGAAGAGGGGAAAGGCCUUAUUUGCGCACAGACUGGCUAACCUAGUAAGGAGGGCUUUAAACUAGGUUCGACGGGGACAGGUGAGCAAAGCCCACAGG